rnacentral:rRNA from 1 species
GAUGAACGCUAGCUACAGGCUUAACACAUGCAAGUCGAGGGGCAGCAUGAAUUUACUUCGGUAAAUUUGAUGGCGACCGGCGCACGGGUGCGUAACGCGUAUCCAACCUUCCCGUUACUCCGGGAUAGCCUUCCGAAAGGGAGAUUAAUACCGGAUGGUGUUUGAAGUCCGCAUGAAAUUCAAACUAAAGAUUUAUCGGUAACGGAUGGGGAUGCGUACCAUUAGAUAGUAGGCGGGGUAACGGCCCACCUAGUCGACGAUGGUUAGGGGUUCUGAGAGGAAGGUCCCCCACACUAGAACUGAGACACGGUCCAGACUCCUACGGGAGGCAGCAGUGAGGAAUAUUGGUCAAUGGCCGGGAGGCUGAACCAGCCAAGUAGCGUGAAGGAUGAAGGUUCUAUGGAUUGUAAACUUCUUUUAUACGGGGAAUAACACCAUCUACGUGUAGAUGCCUGCAUGUACCGUAUGAAUAAGCAUCGGCUAACUCCGUGCCAGCAGCCGCGGU